rnacentral:rRNA from 1 species
CCUACGGGUGGCUGCAGUAAGGAAUAUUGGUCAAUGGAGGCAACUCUGAACCAGCCAUGCCGCGUGCAGGAUGACGGCCCUAUGGGUUGUAAACUGCUUUUGAACAAGAGAAAACCCUCUUACGAGUAAGAGGCUGAUAGUAUUGUUAGAAUAAGCAUCGGCUAACUUCGUGCCAGCAGCCGCGGUAAGACGAAGGAUGCAAGCGUUAUCGGGAUUCAGUGGGUGUAGAGGGUGUGGAGAGUGAUUGGUAAAAGCCGGCAGCUUAACUGUCGAAUUGCCAUUGAUACUGUCGAUCUAGAGUACAGAUGACGUUGGCGGAAUAUGACAUGUAGUGGUGAAAUACUUAGAUAUGUCAUAGAACACCGAUUGCGAAGGCAGCUAACGAAACUGUAACUGACGCUGAGGCACGAAAGUGCGGGGAUCAAACAGGAUUAGAUACCCGUGUAGUC